CUAGUCGGUACACUUCCCGCUUACUCCUUUAGCCAUUCGUUGAGUUGAAUACGAAUGGCAAGGGAGUUUGUGCGAAGUAAGACUUG
rnacentral:pre_miRNA from 1 species